AACGUAGGAGACAAACGUUAUCCGGAGUUACUGGGCGUAAAGGGCGCGUAGGCGGCUUGCACCGUCAGAUGUGAAAUUCCUGGGCUUAACCUGGGGGCUGCAUUUGAUACGUGUGGGCUUGAGUGCGGAAGAGGGUCGUGGAAUUCCCAGUGUAGAGGUGAAAUUCGUAGAUAUUGGGAAGAACACCGGUGGCGAAGGCGGCGACCUGGUCCGUGACUGACGCUGAGGCGCGAAAGCGUGGGGAGCAAACAGG
rnacentral:rRNA from 1 species